GGGGAAUAUUGCACAAUGGGCGAAAGCCUGAUGCAGCAACGCCGCGUGAGUGAUGAAGGUCUUCGGGUUGUAAAGCUCUGUCUUUUGGGACGAUAAUGACGGUACCAAAGGAGGAAGCCACGGCUAACUACGUGCCAGCAGCCGCGGUAAUACGUAGGUGGCGAGCGUUGUCCGGAUUUACUGGGCGUAAAGGGUGCGUAGGCGGAUGUUUAAGUGAGAUGUGAAAUACCCGGGCUUAACUUGGGUGCUGCAUUUCAAACUGGAUAUCUAGAGUGCAGGAGAGGAGAAUGGAAUUCCUAGUGUAGCGGUGAAAUGCGUAGAGAUUAGGAAGAACACCAGUGGCGAAGGCGAUUCUCUGGACUGUAACUGACGCUGAGGCACGAAAGCGUGGGUAGCAAACAGGAUUAGAUACCCUGGUAGUCCACGCCGUAAACGAUGAGUACUAGGUGUAGGAGGUAUCGACCCCUUCUGUGCCGCAGUAAACACAUUAAGUACUCCGCCUGGGAAGUACGAUCGCAAGAUUAAAACUCUAAAGUGAAUUGAC
rnacentral:rRNA from 1 species